UCUGGGCAUGGUGUUUUUUGCCUGUAAUCCCAGCUGUUUGGGAGGCUGAGCCAGGAGGAUCACGAGAGGCUUAGCAAUUCAGUGAGACCCUGUCUCUA
rnacentral:sRNA from 1 species